AGGACACCACGUGGAAGACUGCCCGACCUUGCAGGUUGUGCUGUGACCAGGAAAUGACUACUGUGUGCACAGGUGUGCCCUGGAACAGUGAGCUGCAGCACAACUCAGAACUCUUCCUGGGGGUCAGGAUCCUGCCCAGCACCAGAGUAUGAAGGCAGUGUGCAAGGAAAGGGCCCACAGAGACUGCUGAAGUGUGUGAAGAGGAAAAAUAACACAAUGAGGAAAAAAUACGAAAAAGCAACUAGUGCCAUGAAUAAUCCUGAAAUAUGAAUAAAUAUAUGUAUUUGGACAAAGUGAGAACUGCUUAAUAUAAAACCCUCAACAGGAAAGCAGAGCUUAAAGCAGACUUAAGGGCAGCAAUAGAUGAUGAGUAGUUUUACACAGGAGUGAUCUGCAUUCGUGACGGGUUGGAUGAUGUGGAGCAGAGCAAGCCAGGACAGCUCAUGUGCUGUGGAAAACUGAACUGGGUUAUGUGGAAUGGCACUGGAUGGUACUGAUGCUGAACCCCUUGGCAUCCCCAAGGUCACCGAGGUGGGCAGGUCCCCCCGUGGGCUCUGCGCUCUCAGCUCCGCAGCCCAGCGCACCAAAAGCACUUGGCUCCCACCGCGGUGAGAGGCGUUCGCUAAUUAAACCUUCCCUCGUCUGUGGGAGGGAGGUAAUGGAUCAAAGCUCUCCCGGCUGCCAUGGCUGAAGACCUGGUUUAACCUUUACACUCUUGAAGCCAUUUCAUGGGGAUUAAAAAGGAAUUGGAAUAAAAGGGAGCUCUUAAUUUCUUGGCCA
ensembl:lncRNA